rnacentral:rRNA from 1 species
AGCGAACGCUGGCGGCAGGCCUAACACAUGCAAGUCGAACGAACCUUUCGGGGUUAGUGGCGGACGGGUGAGUAACACGUGGGAACGUGCCUUUAGGUUCGGAAUAACUCAGGGAAACUUGUGCUAAUACCGAAUGUGCCCUUCGGGGGAAAGAUUAAUCGCCUUUAGAGAGGCCCGCGUCUGAUUAGCUAGUUGGUUGAGGUAAUGGCUCACCAAGGCGACGAUCAGUAGCUGGUCUGAGAGGAUGAUCAGCCACAUUGGGACUGAGACACGGCCCAAACUCCUACGGGAGGCAGCAGUGGGGAAUCUUGCGCAAUGGGCGAAAGCCUGACGCAGCCAUGCCGCGUGAAUGAUGAAGGUCUUAGGAUUGUAAAAUUCUUUCACCGGGGACGAUAAUGACGGUACCCGGAGAAGAAGCCCCGGCUAACUUCGUG